rnacentral:rRNA from 1 species
UUGACGCUGAGGUUGGUACUUGUACCGACUGGNUGAGCAGCGAACGGGUGAGUAACGCGUGGGGAAUCUGCCUUUGAGCGGGGGACAACAUUUGGAAACGAAUGCUAAUACCGCAUAAAAACUUUAAACACAAGUUUUAAGUUUGAAAGAUGCAAUUGCAUCACUCAAAGAUGAUCCCGCGUUGUAUUAGCUAGUUGGUGAGGUAAAGGCUCACCAAGGCGAUGAUACAUAGCCGACCUGAGAGGGUGAUCGGCCACAUUGGGACUGAGACACGGCCCAAACUCCUACGGGAGGCAGCAGUAGGGAAUCUUCGGCAAUGGACGAAAGUCUGACCGAGCAACGCCGCGUGAGUGAAGAAGGUUUUCGGAUCGUAAAACUCUGUUGGUAGAGAAGAACGUUGGUGAGAGUGGAAAGCUCAUCAAGUGACGGUAACUACCCAGAAAGGGACGGCUAACUACGUGCCAGCAGCCGCGGUAAUACGUAGGUCCCGAGCGUUGUCCGGAUUUAUUGGGCGUAAAGCGAGCGCAGGUGGUUUAUUAAGUCUGGUGUAAAAGGCAGUGGCUCAACCAUUGUAUGCAUUGGAAACUGGUAAACUUGAUUGCANGAAAGGANAGUGNANUNCAUGUGUAGCGGUGAANCC